AAAUAUAUACAUUUACCUUUAAUCAUAUUAAAGCAGAUAUUGUUUGCUUGCACAGUUACCAAGAGGUCCAGAUUGCUCUGUAUCAGUCAUCUAUCCUCAUCAUCACUCCUCCAAUUUUUGUCAAGUCAUUGUUUACAGGCUGAGUUCCUGUUUCCCCAUAUAUAAUUUCUUCAGAUUUGCCAAAUGUACAUUAGCAAUCCAGGGCUGAUGAGGAACCCUAUCAUAAGAGACCUGUGAGCAUGGACUUUAUACAUAAGUGGACCUACCACAAACUAUGGCACAUGUGGGAUAGUGGGAACAUUAGAUUAAUGAGGGCUCAGAUUUCAUUUUAUAUAGGUAAUGGAGUCUCUCUCUGAUAUUUUCAAACUUUUUUCUAACACCACGGCUGCAUGGAUUGGAAUGUGAGAGGACAGAUGGUUUUAUUAAGCAUUAGCUUGUGGAGCUAAGCAUGGGUAGGUGUUAUUACACCGGGAGCAGAAUGCAAACACUUCAGCAGGUGGUUCUUUUUUCACUUAAAAGUUGGUUCCAGAUCUUCAGUGGUAUUUUGAGGAACCGUUGCCUGUUAAAACAUUGAAAGUUACAGCAGAUUUACAUACUUUAGCCUUUUUAUUUGGAUCUUUAGGAUUUCAUAUUUGUAAAUUUUCUUCUUCAAAUGUCUGAAGACAGUUUCUGAGCUUACAUGUUUACAGAAGAACUAAGACAGCUAGUAAUUUCUUAUCUGGGCAACCUUGAUCUGAAACUUGUACUGUUCCAUUUCAGUCCUCUCUUACAGCAAGAGUAACUCUUACUCCCACCUCAUACCUCCUAGAAGAACAUUCAGGGGUAUCUUAUUACCAUGUCCUAUGUAUGUCCCUAUUAGUGCAUUCAGGUUGUUUGUGGUAGGUUAUAAUAUAGAUUAAUUUAUUCGUGAAUUUUGCUGAUUCAGAAUUCAGAAGUGUCUAAUGAAAUUGAAAUGCUGGUAUAAAGAUUUGGAUUUGUCCCGUAACAAUAUUUAGAUGGAGUUUACAAGGACACAUUUCAGCUGCAACUUUAAGUAUUGGACACAUUGGAGCAUAUAUUUCUUUGUCUUUUAUCUACAUUGAGUGACUGAUACCUCAACAUUGCACAUUAGCUUAACUAGGGAAAGUACUGGGGAAAUCAUUGAAUAUCUUGGAUCUUUAUUUCCUCAAACUGCCCUUUGAACUGUUAUGAACCUGAGAUCCCAUUGAAUGAAAAGAGACUGUGGUACGGAGAGAGCAUUUAACUAGCUGGAAAAUAAUUCUUCUGCACAAGGCUCUAAAACUUUACUCCCUCACAAGUAUACAAGGCCCUAAAAUAGUCCAGAAUAUAUAUGUAUAAGAGAUUACUAGUCUGAAAAAAAAAACCACCUACUUUGUUCUGUCUAUUCUGCCUCCUUGGCUUGGCAAGUCUGACCUUUCAAGGAUCUGACCUCUGACUGGGGAUCCAAGUACCUCAGCAUCUAACCAUACCUCUUUAUAUUAAGACAAUAACAAGCGUUUAUGCUGACUUGAUCUAUAGGACAGAAGACAGGCAGCUCAGUGGUGUACAUUGACCAAGGAGGAAGGUUAUUAAGAUCUAUAGUGAGACCAAGUUUGAAUAAUUUGGUUCCUACAAUUCUGUGUAGAUUCAUGAAAUCUCGCCACUGGUAUUAGGAACACACCAUUGUAUCUGAAUUGUAACCUGCCCACACUUUGAAGGUAAAUUUUUGACCCUCUGUUACUUAUACUGUGUUUUAUAAAUGUUAGCUAAUUAAUUGUCAUGACAUCCCAGUGAGAGAUGGAUUAUUAUCCCCACUUUAUAGCUAGUGGAACGGAUACUAAGAAGUUCAAGACUUGUCUCACACCACACUUCAAGUCAGGAGCUGAACUAGAGUAAGAAUGCAGCCUGUGCUGCCUGCCUCCCUGACGAGCCGAAGGCUGAGAGCUAGCAAAGAAUUUCAUUUCAGCCGCAUCUGUUGUUUCUGAUGUACUGGGAAAAAAAGUCAGCGUUACUUGAGUCCCUCAGGAUACACCAAACAGCAGCACAGUACAAUAAGUAGAGGCACUGGGUGCAAACUGACUUUUGUGCUAACGAUACUCCUUCCCUUCUGCCACACAGUUGUAUGACUUGGCUUCCUGUUAUUCAAAAGGCAAAGGACCAUAAGCACAUGCUACCCCAGAUCCAAAAGUGCAUCAUUCCCAGGAGCAAACCAUGGUCAGCACUGGCAUGUGUCAUAUGUUCUGUCUGUCCAUUUUAGAUCACAUGGCUACCAACAACAUUGCCCUGGACAAUCCCCUGGCUGCUCAGAGUAGACACUCCUUGUCCUGCGCCGCAUUUGGCUGUCAGCGUUAUAGGUUCAUUUUUUAUUCAGACACAAGAUCCAUGUAAAAAGUGUCCAGUGUCUACUUAUCGAACCAGACAAUUAGAUGCAUGCCACAGCUCAAAGAAACACACACUAUUCUUUGCUGCUUCAGUACAUCUGGAGAACUUUGAACAGAGUUACCACGGGGUCUGGAUGUGUGGCUUUCACUUUGCUAAUCUCCUGCCUGACUCAUCCAGGAAGUGACAGCAUGUUACAGGGGCAACAAAUACGUCUUCAAGGGCUUGGUGCUUAUUUGUUCUGAUGCCAACAACUGGGCCAUGAAGUUGCAUUGGCUUUGGAAGCUAAAGAAAUGAGUGAGUUUCCCCUUUUUUGAAGUAUUUUUAAGGACAAGCCACCUCCUUCUUCCACAGUCCUGGAAUUUUGCCCUGAUAUCUGCCACAUUAUACACACACACUUAGGCCAGGAAGACAUUUUCUAACUGCCAAGAAAAACAAAUGAGGGAAAUGUCAACAGCUUGCAUCUAGCCUGUUACCUCAUCC